rnacentral:rRNA from 1 species
CCCUUAGACGUUCUGGGCCGCACGCGCGCUACACUGACCAGUGCAACAAGCAUCCGUCCUUGGCCGACAGGCCCGGGCAAUCUUUGAACGCUGGUCGUGAUGGGGAUAGACUUUUGCAAUUUUUGGUCUUCAACGAGGAAUUCCUAGUAAACGCAAGUCAUCAACUUGCAUUGAUUACGUCCCUGCCCUUUGUACACACCGCCCGUCGCACCUACCGAUUGAAUGGUCCGGUGAAGCCUCCGGAUUGGCGCGCACCUCGGUGCCGCCGAGAAGUUGGCUAAACCUUACCAUUUAGAGGAAGGUGAAGUCGUGACA